rnacentral:rRNA from 1 species
UACGUAGGGUGCGAGCGUUGUCCGGAAUUAUUGGGCGUAAAGAGCUUGUAGGUGGUUUGUCGCGUCUGCUGUGAAAAUCCGAGGCUCAACCUCGGACUUGCAGUGGGUACGGGCAGACUAGAGUGUGGUAGGGGAGACUGGAAUUCUUGGUGUAGCAGUGAAAUGCGUUGAUAUCAAGAGGAACACCAGUGGCAAAGGCGAGUCUCUGGACAACUCCUGACACUGAGGCACGAAAGCUAGGGGAGCAAACAGG